UUGAAAGGUACGAGCUGGGAGCAAUAUAGGUGAUCAGGGUGGUUUGGUGUGCGAAAAACUGUUGGACUUGAUAGUUAAUGAGCCUGUUGUUAUCAUGGAAGAAGGUUUUCCUAAUGCCACACAACAUGGAUAAUCAAUUAAAGAGAUGCGGACAUCAGAGUUGAGGUAGUUUCAAAUGAUGGGAAGAUGGUUAGGUGACGAGUGCCCUCUCUGAUGUGGAUGUUGAAGAAGUUCAGGUUAGAACAUAAUCCGUCGGAUCAUCUAUUUGAUAUGUCAUGCUUCUGAAACUUACGUAUUUUCUAUACUCAGUCUUGAAUUAUUGUUGCUGAAAAAUUACCCGAUGAUCAGGUAU